CGAAAUCGGUAGACGCUACGGACUUAAAAUCCGUCGACUUUAGAAAUCGUGAGGGUUCAAGUCCCUCUAUCCCCAG
rnacentral:tRNA from 3 species